ACCGGCCGCGCGGGAGAGCGCGAGGGCGGGGUCACCCGUGCUUCGCCACCGAAGGAGCAACCGCCCCGGAAACUCUCAGGUCAAGCGGACCGCGCAGGCCGG
rfam:Sphingopyxis sp. Root1497 contig_3, whole genome shotgun sequence.